AUUGAACGCUGGCGGCAUGCCUUACACAUGCAAGUCGAACGGCAGCGGACCUUCGGGUGCCGGCGAGUGGCGAACGGGUGAGUAAUGUAUCGGAACGUACCAUAGAGUGGGGGAUAACGUAGCGAAAGUUACGCUAAUACCGCAUAUUCCCUGAGGGGGAAAGCAGGGGAUCGCAAGACCUUGUGCUCUUUGAGCGGCCGAUAUCAGAUUAGCUAGUUGGUGAGGUAAAGGCUCACCAAGGCGACGAUCUGUAGCGGGUCUGAGAGGAUGAUCCGCCACACUGGAACUGAGACACGGUCCAGACUCCUACGGGUGGCUG
rnacentral:rRNA from 1 species